GACAAACUCUUUUUAUAAUUACAGGAAUCUUUGAAUCGGAGAUAAAUCUUACCACAAGACUAGUGAGAGGAGGUUCUGCACGUCAGCAAGGCAUGUUCAGAAAGCCUAGGAGCCAAAGUCUGAGCUUUUUCCCCUUCUGACCCAGGUUUUUCCCUUCUGAAAGAUUCUUCCUAGACUUGGCAUUUGACAUAGAAGAGUACAUUUAAUUUCAUCAACUGUGACUGAUUUUUUUCUUGGCUAAUGAAACAGUCUACUGCUUCAUGUGACCAUGAAGAUCUCAAGUUAGAAUACUGAACAAGAAUGUUGUAUUUCAUUUGGUUGUGAAAGUAAACAGAGCAUAGCUUCAUAGAUUAUAGAAAGAAUAACAAGUUAGAGGAAAAAGAAAGAAAAUCAUUGAUGGCGAUUUGAAAGCAAAUUACACUGGUACCAUCAGAGUUAAUUUCCACUCAGCCUGUGAGGCAAAAUCUUCUUUCUUACUCUUUGUCCUAACUUUCAAGAGCCACUCAUUCCUACCCUCCACUCUGCUAUGCACUGUCUCUGAGAUGACCUUUACCACACAUCCUCCCUCCCACUCUUCCAAUCUCAUUUAAGAAGCUAUUUAGCCAUGCUUCUGCCUUGUUACUCCAGUCUGUUUCCAUUAUCUGUAACUACACUCUUCCUGCUGCACUCUGAGCUGCUUGCCUGAAAGAACAAGAUGUAGAAGUCUUCCAGAAACUGCACAGAACCUCUUCAGAGACAAGAGAUCGAACACGCAGGGACAGCAAGAGGCUAUACUGAAUUGAGGACUGGAUGUCAGAGGUGGAGAUGGCUGGAAACAUGAGACAUGGCAACAGAACCUCUUCCACCGGUAGACUGGUAGGAACAGGCUCAGUUCUGUGGGAGAUGACAGGAAGAAGAGUCUCCAUCACAGGAGUCUUCAGGUUUUAUCAAACAUGAACCAAGCAUGCACACUAAGAGGAAGAGACAGGUGAGAGAGAUUAAAGCACGGUUAUCUGCCAUUCAGAUGUGCAAUCACAGGAGACUUGUUUCUUCAUGGGUAUCCAUAUCCGUUAUUUUGUGAAGAGACUGACAGUUUAUCCAACACUCAGCCAACAAGCCCGCCUUGCCAGUUAUCCAUGUGGACAGCAAUAAUAGUUCCAGGAGAGGCCCUGAGACCCCAAGAACAUAAAGAGUAAUUUAUUGGUCGCUGCACCUAGGUUGUGAGGGAAAAGCUUGCAAGUCAAGUUGAUGUUCUACCUGAAAGAAGCUGUGUGUCUCUUGCAUGUACAACUGAAGAGAUGUUCUUAUAAGCAGAAGUCUAUGCUAAAGGCCACGUCAUGUCCUCUUCCUGGGCUCUCCCAUGCAAAGCCAGACAAAUCUCAUGGUACAAUGCAGUGUAUUUCUUGUUUUUCACAGUCAAGGAAUGUGACUUUGCUAUCAGUGCUGCCACAGACAGAAUGUACACAAGCCCUGGGAACAUCUCAGAGAACAGAAUUUAUCAAGGGAACAUAGGAGUCAUAACAACUCCCAGAGGAGCACCAGUCAACAUUAAAGUGCUCAUGUUGUGACUGGCUGGUGCUGAUGAUGGUGUUUAAGCUUUUGCUUUUCUGUUCAAAGUGCGGAUCCCCUUUCAACAAAAUCAACCCUCAUAUAUGCCACAGGAAAUUACAUCUGAUUGAUGUUUGUUUCAGAGAAGAGACCCUCGAAUUACCAAAAAAUUAGAUAUGGUCUGACAUUCUUCAGUGCAGAAAACUAUUUUCUUUAAUUUGUUUUUUUUAUAUACCAUUCUUUUCUGGAAUGCCAUCUUCUGUAAAUCCAUAUUAUUUCUGUAACAAUCUAAACCACUAAAUGAUGGUGGGAGGAAUCCUUUCCCAGAAAAUUGGAUAGGACCCAGAUAGGGCAGAAGAGAACCUAAUGAGUUUUCCUACAUAGUGUUAUCCUGUGAAAGCUGUGUGACAGGAAGGGAUAAAUCAUAGAAUAGAAUCAUAGAACGGUUUGGGUUGUAAAGGACCUUUAAAAUCUUUUCAUUCCAGCCUCCCUGCUACAGGUAGGGACACCCCCUUCUUGAUGAGGCUGCUCACAGACCCAUCCAACCUGGCUUGGAUUUCUUCCAUGGAGGUGGCAUCCACAACAUCUCUGGGAAACCUGUUCCAAUGUCCCACCACCCUCACAGUGAAGAAUUUCUUCCUAAUCUCUAGCCUAAUAUGCCCUCUUAUAGUUUAAAGCCAUUGCUCUUACAAGAGCUAUUAGGGAGGCAGUCUGCUUUUAGACUUGUUCUACUCCCACAGUAAAUUCUAAGCCAGAUUUUUGUGAAUGCUGCACACACUGUGUGAAGCCUGUGAGCCUCUUCAAGCCCACAGCUAUUUAUAAAAGCUGAUGAUUACACCACAUUUUUCACCCCAGUGCUCCCAAAGGACGUUGCAAACAUCUGGUUGAACAGACAUCUCUUGAUCUGAAACUGUUACAAUCCAGCUGCUAACACAUGGCAACUGCUUAGCAUUUGGAGGGGCAGGGAAAGCUAUAGUGUAUUUACUUCUAUCUUUACCAUCAAUGUUAUUGCUCACUUCAAUACAAUUUCAGGAUUUCGGUCAUCAGAGAGGUCAGGUGAAGCAGUAGAUUUAAAAAUCUAAAUGUCCGGAAAUCAAGAAUCAAGAAGCUGAAAUGAUGAAUCUGCCCAUGGGAGGCAUCUCAACAGUAGUCAUCUGUUCACAUGGUUCAUUCUAGAAAGAAGAGAUCCUGAAGUAUGAACCCAGGUGGCUGUGCCCCUCCUGGUUGUCAUAUCCUUGUAUCCACAUUUGUAUUCUCUGUCCUUCAUCUGUGACUCAGAUUUUUAAUUAGUAACUCCUGAAUUAAGCCCAGAGCACUUGCUUGAGGUAAUGCUUGUUUUUAGAAAGUUGUCCUGUAUUACUUUCAAGUCUUCCAUUAAUGAAAACACCCUACAGUAGCUAAUGAGUUGUCCCAGUAAUUCAUUCUACUGCCUUUGAAAAGGCACAGAUCAUUCUUGCACUAAAUCUAGUUAGUGCCUUCUUUCAGCCAGGAGCACACUGAAUACAGUUUUCAGGCACCAAUCGUUAUGAGCAGAUGCCUGCUCCAACAGUAAACAUUUGACACCUGGUUUGCUUUAUCCAUGAAAGCGAUUGGAGAGCUGGUAAGCCUGCUUGUUCUUAGAGACUUAGUGUUAAAUUUAAUACUCUGUAACAGAGGAUCUUUCCUAGCUAAUAAUGAGCACAAUUUCUUAGAUUAACUUGUGUCCAUGAAUAAAGUUCCUCCCCUUCCUGACUUGUUUGAACAGAUUUAUGGCAUCCUUUUCUAUGUCUGUUUCAGUAGACUGAAGACAUUCCAGCCUUGGUCUCAAGCAGUUCUAUGACCAUCUUCACUGUCACAUUUUUAGCAUUAUCCCUUGUGUGGAUUUGUCCUGAGCAAGCUGGUUUUCCCCUGGAAUACCAAUAUUUCAGAAAUCUGAGAAGUCCACAAUGCAUAUUUAUUUUGAAAGUCAUGGAGAAGCUCUCAGUGAGGCCACCAUAUUUGGAUAUAGAGCUGUAUGAGUAGAAACACUUUAUGCUUUUAUGCAAACCGAAGGCAUCAUUAUGACACACUACUACAGGAACAUAAAAAUCGAACACUGUUGUUCUUGCUCAGAGGGAGGUGAAGGCCUUUGGUACCUUUCCCUUGUGGGGAGAAACUGCCCAUCCAGUACUGCUGGGGGAAUAUUUGGAGGGAAUUAUUGGUGUCUGAUAGGUAGCUGUAUGUGCAAGGUUUAUUUUUAUUAUAUAUUAUAUAAAUUAUAUAAUAUAUAAUAUUAUAUUAUAGAUAUAUAAUGAGCAGUUAUCUUAUGCUUGCAGCAUGGAUUGGGCUCCCUGCUUGUGUAGUCAGAGAUCUUUGCACUUGUAUCUAGCUGGGAAAUCCCAACCUCAGCGUGGUAACCAUAGGAGUACAUGCAAUUGUUACUGCCUAUAAUUUGUGUUGACAAGAUCAGUCAAAACAUUCAUUACGUAUCAGUGCAAUGUUUUAUAUAGAACACCCUACUCAGCUGUGAGGGGACAUAUCUGCAGAGGUAUGUAGGUGCCUCACCACUUUUAGAAGCUUAACUCCCCCAGAUUCAGGGGAAGUAGGUCCCUAAAUGCCUCUAUAGCACUGGUAGAAUACCAGAGAGAGAGAGGUCUCUUGAACUAUUCCCACACACUCUUUGUCCUUUCUUUCUUUAUUUCUACUGAAUUAUUCUCACAAAAAUAAAGGGUGUUUUUUUUUCCUGAAUUUGAAUGAGUAUAUACAUUAUGUUUCAGUUGCAUAAUAUUAUUGCUUUAGCAAUCGUUUGGCAAAUAGAAUUGCCCCCCACAUUGUGUAAUGAAAAUAUAACACAUUUUAGCAUUCUUCUGAGAUUUAAUUUCUUGUCAAGCUGUACAUUUAUAAAAAAAGUCAUUUCAUAAAAAUUGAAGACAGUACUCAUUCAGUCAUCUGUUGCAACCAUCUGCUGCUGAUACAUUAUUUUGAUUUACCAUCCUUUGUCUUCUUCAAGGAAGUCAACCGUGAUUUUAUUAUUCUUUUCACUCAAAGCACGAUAGAGACUUCAUUCAACUUACCACUCAAGGUGAAUUAUAAUAUAACCUUCUUCCAUCACUCUGCAGUUGAGCUUGAAAUUUCUACACCAAUAGUAUUGUGAUAUUGUAAUUUUCCCCAUCAUUAAUAUUUUUGCAGUCUCCUGUAUGUUAAUGAUAUUUUAAAACUCACAAGAAAAAGUAGCACUUCAGCAGAGAAGUAUUUUGAAGGGUACUGAGUCAUAGUCAAUGGCCUCUUUCAAGUGUCACUUAAUUUAGUGCACCAAUUGCCAGGUUCAUUAAUUUUCUCUUCUCAUUUAUUUAUGUUUUCACAAAGAAAUGUUGCUUUUAUGUUCAUGCACUUUUUCUUGAGUAUAUUACCUUUUGUGUUCUUGUAUUAGAUAAAGCAACUUUGAAUUACAUAGUGCUUUUGAGUUAAUUGACGUUACCAAAACGUAACUGUUAUGACUAUUUAAACUGAAAUGUUUUCCUAAAAUCUUGUUAUUCCUUGUUGAGCACUACAAUUAGAAAUGAAAACCUUGUUUUUGCUAGUGCGUCUGUUUAUAUGUACCAAAUACACCCAUACUGCAGAUACACACACACUUGCCUGCACAGACACUAUCCAUAUUUUGAUGACAGUACUUUGUAUUUUUCCAUGAAGUACAGAAAUACAGAUAUUUUAUGCCUUCUGCCUUCAGAGAUAGCUUUCUGAGCAUCUAACUAAAAAAGGGCAUGUUUAAUCACAAAUCUCAGCAGUGAAUACUGAAUAGCUGUAGAAGCUCGACCAUUCCCAGAAACGUUUAUGGAAGGGAGCGGGGUCAGCAGCAGUGACAUUAGCUCUCAUGCAAAUUUCAGAGCACUGAAUAUAGGCAAAAUCAAAACUAAGCAUAAAAAAUGAACACAAUAAAGCACUCUUCUGCCCUUUAUGAUAUUAAAAAUUAUUCUGUCUUCAGUAUGUCACACCUCCUACAGUGGAAAAAAUGGAGAGGACAGCUGCAUAUAGAUUAAUGGCUUUUCAAGUAGCUAUUGUAAUAUACACACACAGAAAUUGGCUGUGCUUCUUGCUCUGAACCACAGUUUAAAGGCAUGUGAAUAAUGCUGCUGUUCUCUCAAGUGAAAUCUGGCAUUUUAACUGCAGUCUAGAUUAUGCUAAUAAUUCCAUAAGUGGUCAUGACCAAGUUAUGGAGCUCAUCUUGAAAGGCAGAAACUGAGCAGAGCAGAUCGCAUUUUGCUUUGGUAUUUUGAAAGUCCUUGAAAUGAAGAUAUCACAGGGCAAUGAUAAUGUUUUUGAGUUACCAUAACACAAGACAUUUUCUAACAAUGUGAUCUCAUAGAACCUGCACAGUAGCUGCAUUUAGAGUACUCAGCCAGAAGUUCUGUCUGUACUUCCAACCCCUUGACCUUUCACUGGGAGAACUAUAUGAGUAACUGUCAUGGUUUUAUGAUUUUUGGUUAUCAGUAUUCCACAUCAUAACAUUGUGUAGUGCACCAAAAGUUAAAGAGUUAAUGCUCCAGUCCCAGAUACCUGUCCCAGAAGAGAAGAAGAACUACAUACGUCAGAGGACUUUGUGUUCCGAGAAGAGAUAAAAUUCCUGGCAAAGUUACAGCACCAGGCUCUCUUCCCUUCUUCUUGCCCCAAGCACACAUCUCACCUCAGCAUUAGAGUAAGAGCUUCAGUUUUCAGAUACUCUCUCUCAUUUUAUUUAUUAGCUCCAAUUCCAACUAUAUUGAAUUAUAUUGUAUUAUAGUGUGUUAUCUUGCAUUCUGAUAUCUUAUGUAGUAAAUUAUUUUGUUUCUCCUCAGAUAAUUGCUGCUGUUUUGUUUUUGGCCCAUCUCUCUAUCAUUUUCCCUUAUCCGGGGUGCGGAUUCGCAGGUCCCUCUGCCCCACUAGUCACAGGACUGGGCUAAAUCAGCCCGUAAACCAUUGACAGUAACUGAAAUAAGUAUAAUGAAGUCUUUCUACUCUGAAUUAAAGCUAAAUGGAAAUAGGAAUGAUUAUGACUCCAGCAUAAGUUCAUAAAUCCAGACUUCACAGAUGAGGCAUGCUCCCAGAUCUUGUGUGUACUGGCUUCUUUUGAAAAGUAGAUGGAUAGCCGACAGCAGAGGAAUAACAGAUUAGAAUUACUACUGAGUUAAUAUUCAUCUCAGUUUGGUGCCUGUGAGACCAUACCUGAGGCAAUGGGUUCAGUUUUGAGCUUUUCAUCACAAGAAGAACACAGAUAUACUGGAGUAAGUCCCACAGAGAUCUUAAAGGUGAUCAAGGUACUGGAGAUUAUUAUAAAAGAGGAUGAAAGAAAUGGAUUUGUUCAGCCUAAAGAAGGCUCAAGACAGAUUUAUUGCUGUCUCCAAUGGACAAGGCCACUCAACAUGAAGAAGAAGAGAAAAUAAAAUCAGGUUAUGACAAGAGAAAUUCCAGUUAGGUACAAGGAAAAACAAUCUCUGCAAUGGAGUUGGUCAAGCACUGUCACAGAUUUCCUUGGGAUGCUCUGGAUUUUCUGUCCUUGGAGAUACUUAGAAGUUGACUGGGCAGGGCCCUGAGCACAGUUAUCAAGGGGAAAUAAAACUUGAGCAACCUCAUUAUCAUCCAUCUGUGAUUAAAGAAUUAGUUAUGUGGAUUACAAAUGUAGCGUAUAUAACAUGUUCUUAUUAUAGUCUGAAAGCUGAUCACACACUGGACAAACAGACACUAAGAUGAGUUGAAAAAAAUGCUGGGUUACUGGACUGAAUUGAAAUACCUUUGGUAGUAGCCAAUGGAACAACAUCCAGAUAAUAUCUAUCAAAAAACAGUGUAGCCUAGAGACUGAUGUUGGGACAAGCAAUAUUCAGUAAUGUCAUGAGGAACCUAUUAAGUAAGACAGAAUAAGCUAAGAAUUAUGCAAAACAUACAAAUCUAGAGAGCAUUUUUUUUAUACUGAAAGGUAAUGACUCCUCCACAGUUCAUUAGGAUGGAAAAAAACCAGGCAGUUUGGGUUAAGAAAAAAUCAUGCAGCUCAAAAGGCAAAAUGUGUAGUUCUGCACCCAGAGCACCUUGUACAAGCUUCAGCAGAGUCAAAGCAUUGAAUGUAGUUGAUAUCUAGAUUGGGAGAACAAUAUAGUUGUCUCCUACCAACCACUUUGUAACAGAAGCCUGUUGUGUUCUCCUCAGUAGAAUUUUUCAGUGAGGUAUUCUAAAGCACUUACUUCACUGAAAAUUGCAGCAUUUCUGCAUCAGAGGGGAAUUUAACCUGGCUGAGAGGCCUCAGCCAUUCUGUGAAGUGAGUAAAGCGCUUUCCUUGUAAUACAGUCACUCAGAGUUGCAGCUAUUAAUGUCACAAACCUUUCUUUAAGUCAGAGACUGCCUUUUUCUUCGUGUCUGUACAACAGCUAGCAAAAUCACAUGACAGCUUGUUUGCAUUUAUGGGACACCAUGAAAAAUGUAUCCUAUAUAUAUAUAUUAUACCUUGAUUAUAAUAUCAAACUUGAUUGUAAUAUCAAAAGCACUUUUUCUUCCUUCCUUUUUUUUUUUUUUGAUUUUUUUUUUUUUGUGUGUGUGAUUUAUGAAUUCAGAAGUAAGAACAAUCAGAUAUUAUGAUUCAUUUUUAAAUAAAAGAUCUUUUAAAACAUAA
ensembl:lncRNA